UUUACUUUAACGACGCGACGAACCGUAGGAAUCUAAAUAAAAAAGUUUAUUUAAAAACGGCCUCAACCUAUUCUCAAACUUUAAAUGGGUGAGAUCUCCGGCUUGCUCGAACUUUAUAUGAAGCCGCGAGACUCGAAUCAGAGUGCCAAGUGGGCCAUUUUUGGUAAGCAGAACUGGCGCUGUGGGAUGAACCAAACGCCGAGUUAAAGCGCCUAAAUCGACGCUUAUGGGAUACCAUGAAUGGCGUUGGUAACUUAAGACAUCAGGACGGUGGCCAUGGAAGUCGAAAUCCGCCAAGGAGUGUGUAACAACUCACCUGCCGAAGUUACUAGCCCUGAAAAUGGAUGAGCGGAGCGGGAGAAGUGUUGUGAGGACAGGCAGCUCUUAUAAG
rnacentral:ncRNA from 1 species